GCAAACUACUUAGGCGGAGUUUCUUAUUUACUACAAUUAGGUUUAAAUUCAUAACCUGUCAAAGGACCUUGAGCUGAAGUUUAUUGUUGUAUUUUUUUUCUAUUCCUGGCUUUUCUUCAUAAUAGCAUUUGCUUGGUGUUAACCAUAUUUUUCUUUUUCUUAUCUGUCCUUCCCUGCCUUUCUUUUUGUAUGUGUGUGUACCUUUGGUCCACACCCUAAGAUGGACGACUCAAUUCCUCAGCCCCACCUCCACGGGAGUAGUUGUCACUCGUCAAGUGCCCAUGGUCCAUGGGAUAGCACCAUUAUUUUGCAUUGAGC
rnacentral:misc_RNA from 1 species